GGUGGUUCGUGACUUUGAAUCAAGAGGCAGAGUCUGGCAGUGCGUCCGCAACCAGCGGUCGGCCUCAGACCCAGAGAUGCUUGCUGCCAGGUAUUAAUGAUGAGCCGGCUGGCUGCUCCAUGGAGCCAAGCCGGGGAUGCCGGCAUGGCCUCGGCCUGGCCUGUCACCAUCACCCUCAUCCACCAUCUGGAGAAGAACGUGAUGGCUUUUCCAGGAGGCGAAAAAUCACAAAAACCUGAGAGAUCUGGAAGGGCCUGGUGUAAGCAGCGCCGUCGGAAGUGUGUGGUAAGCCAGGGAACCUAACCAGCAGAGGGGAGGAAGGGGAGUGCUCCAGGCUAAAGGUACAGCUUGUGCAAAGACCAGCAGGCAGGAGACGGCUCUUC
rnacentral:lncRNA from 1 species